UACGUAGGGGGGCAAGCGUUGUCCGGAAUCAUUGGGCGUAAAGAGCGUGUAGGCGGCCCGGUAAGUCCGCUGUGAAAGUCCAGGGCUCAACCCUGGGAUGCCGGUGGAUACUGUCGGGCUCGAGUCCGGAAGAGGAGUGUGGAAUUCCUGGUGUAGCGGUGAAAUGCGCAGAUAUCAGGAGGAACACCAAUGGCGAAGGCAGCACUCUGGGGACGUGACUGACGCUGAGACGCGAAAGCGUGGGGAGCAAACAGG
rnacentral:rRNA from 1 species